UACGUAGGGGGCAAGCGUUGUCCGGAAUUAUUGGGCGUAAAGAGCGUGUAGGCGGCCAGAUAAGUCCGCUGUGAAAUCUCGAGGCUCAACUUCGAGCUGUCGGUGGAAACUAUCUGGCUAGAGUCCGGAAGAGGAGAAUGGAAUUCCUGGUGUAGCGGUGAAAUGCGCAGAUAUCAGGAGGAACACCUAUAGCGAAGGCAGCUCGCUGGGACGACACUGACGCUGAGACGCGAAAGCGUGGGGAGCAAACAGG
rnacentral:rRNA from 1 species